UUAUGGCCAUAUCAUGUUCAAACACCAGUUCCUAUACAAUCACCAAAGUUAAGUAAUGUUGAACCUGGUCAAUACCUAGAUGGGUGACUGCUUGGGAAUACAGGUGCUGUAA